rnacentral:rRNA from 1 species
UAUCUCUGUAGAGUCUGCAUAUCAAUAAGCGGAGGAAAAGAAACUAACUAGGAUUCCCUCAGUAACGGCGAGUGAAGCGGGAAGAGCUCAAAUUUGAAAUCUUCAAGGUUUUACCUUGACGAAUUGUAGUUUAAAGAAGUGUUUUCUGUUGAAGUUUCGGUAAAAGUUCUUUGGAAUAGGACAUCAUAGAGGGUGAGAAUCCCGUAUUUGACCAGUUACUUUCAGCGUUGUGAUACACUUUCAAAGAGUCGGAUUGUUUGGGAAUGCAGUCCAAAAUGGGUGGUAAAUUUCAUCUAAAGCUAAAUAUUGGCGAGAGACCGAUAGCGAACAAGUACCGUGAGGGAAAGAUGAAAAGAACUUUGAAAAGAGAGUUAAACAGUACGUGAAAUUGUCAAAAGGGAAGCGUUUGACACCAGUGUUGUUUUCUCGAAAAUCAAUUAAAAAGUGUUGGAUUUUGUGUUGUUAAGACCUUAUCAGCUUACUGUACUUUUUUCCUGCUCUUUUUAAUGCACUUUUCGUUUAACAAGUCAACAUCAAUUUCUUUUGUUGUAAAAGGGUCAUUGGAAGGUGGCUUUCUUUUCGGAGAAAGUGUUUAUAGCCUUUGACUCCUGCAAUCGGAGAGACUGAGGUCUGCAGCGUAGAUCCUUCGGGGCUAGAUACGUAGAUGCUAAGUUAUAGUUUUUUAUAGACAACUUGUUGACUAUAAUUAAUCAUGUAGCUUACUCGUUUGCGCUAUUUUACCUACGCUUAGGAUGUUGAUCUCUCACAGUCGAGC